CACGCCGUAAACGGUGGGCACUAGGUGUGGGUUCCAUUCCACGGAAUCCGUGCCGAAGCUAACGCAUUAAGUGCCCCGCCUGGGGAGUACGGCCGCAAGGCUAAAACUCAAAGGAAUUGACGGGGGCCCGCACAAGCGGCGGAGCAUGCGGAUUAAUUCGAUGCAACGCGAAGAACCUUACCUGGGUUUGACAUAUGCCGGAAACACCUAGAGAUAGGUGCCCCGCAAGGCCGGUUUACAGGUGG
rnacentral:rRNA from 1 species